GGGGGCGAACGGGUUCGACGGGGAUGGAGUCCCCUGGGAAGCGAGCCGAGGUCCCCACCUCCUCGUAAAAAAGGUGGGAACACGAAUAAGUGCCAACGAACCUGUUGCUGUUGCCGCCUAAUAGAUAGGCGGCCGUCCUCUCCGGAGUUGGCUGGGCUCCGGAAGAGGGCGUGAGGGAUCCAGCCUACCGAUCUGGGCUCCGCCUUCCGGCCCGGAUCGGGAAGGUUCAGGAAGGCUGUGGGAAGCGACACCCUGCCCGUGGGGGGUCCUUCCCGAGACACGAAACACGGGCUGCGCUCGGAGAAGCCCAGGGGCCUCCAUCUUCGGACGGGGGUUCGAAUCCCCCCGCCUCCACCA
rfam:Thermotoga neapolitana DSM 4359, complete genome.